AAAGUCUGAGGCAAAAUUGUAUACGUGCAAAUUUUAGGUUCCAUGUUUUUUCUGGGCUGUAAGCGUACGAUGCAUUUCUUUCUGGUUGGAAAUUGCAUAUUUAAAAGCUUUAUACUAAAUAUAUUUAAAUAACGGGCUUUUGAUGA